rnacentral:rRNA from 1 species
UACGGAGGGAGCUAGCGUUGUUCGGAAUUACCGGGCGUAAAGCGCACGUAGGCGGCUUUGUAAGUUAGAGGUGAAAGCCCGGGGCUCAACUCCGGAACUGCCUUUAAGACUGCAUCGCUUGAAUCCAGGAGAGGUGAGUGGAAUUCCGAGUGUAGAGGUGAAAUUCGUAGAUAUUCGGAAGAACACCAGUGGCGAAGGCGGCUCACUGGACUGGUAUUGACGCUGAGGUGCGAAAGCGUGGGGAGCAAACAGG